UCCCGAUUCUAUAAUCAGUUACUUUUACUUUUUGUUUUUAUCUAUUUUUUUAUCGUCUAUUGCUGAUUAUGGAGUCGAAAUAAACUUAUCAUUAUUACAUAAAGUCGCUGGGAUAUUACCUAACAAUUCAUUUAUAGCUUGCUAACAUUUUCCGCAUUUAUUUUUAUUUAGCAAUGAUUUCAGUUUUGUCUCCUUAUUUGAUUAUGUUUUGCCCCAUACAUCAUUGUUAGCGUCCUGAUUACUAAUUUUAAUCUCUCUCCUCCCAUUCCACAUCAACACCGCCCUUUAUAAAAUAUCAGGGAUAACUUAACUAUAUGUGGGACAACCUCUAUUGUUGUGUAGUAUAUAACUUCACUAAAUCGUGAGAUAACCGCGACAGCGGAGCCUGUAGUGUCCACCUCGAUUAAAUCGACUAAACAGAUGGGGCAACAACAAAAUGAGUGUUAACGUCGUGACACUUUGAGGGCCCAUCUGUGCCGUCGAAUAUAUAAGUUGGCGAAUCGCCGCUUAACGGGGGGACAGAAAACUAAGACUGUAUAGGGAAAGAUCAAUAAUUUGGACGAACAUUUUUAAAUGCAUAGAAAAGGGAUUAUUAGUAUUGACGAAAUUCUCCGAAUUCAUAAAUUAGAUCCCAUUUUAGAUUAGGCAACAUAUGGAAACGAAAAAAUAACUGGAUCAAUAACGUCCAGGUGGUAAUUAGUAUUCAAAACUCCAAUUAAUAAGGCUAAUGGAAUCGAUAGCACCAUUCUAAUCCCCGGAAUAUAGAUUUAUAGAUCAAAUCCUCAUAGUAUUCUUUAAAAUUCUGAUUGUUACAAUCAUGGGAGAGACAUGAUUACCAUUGGUUUUCUGUAUAAGGGUCGCUUUCUCUGUAGUAUCAUCCAGUCUUGUACAUACGACCUUGACGUGUAUACUGUUCAAUAAACGAAAGAGGAAUUGGCGUUUGUCUGCUAUCAUUUAUUGUCUGCUGAGGGUGAGCGCAUACACAACCGAACAACGAGGUGACGAAUAAUUUGUGCAAGUCUAGAAGACAAGAGCCCGUGCUCCGAUUAAAGAGCUACGAAAGAUCUCGUACGCCGACUCAAGUUAUAUUUAGGACACCUAUCCUAAAUAAAAUGGUGACACCCGAUUAUUGGAUGCAACCUCCUCGGGGCAGUCAGAUCAGCAAGCAACAGCGCAUAUCAAAGAAAUCAAAAUCAGCACAAACGAUGGCACUACAAUGGCGAUAAUUAGAGCAUGGUAGAACAAAGGUACGGACAGGAAAAGAAUCAGACGACGGAUAAAGACAAACUCCACACAAUGAACGAUAUGAACUUUUAUUUGAUAUCAAAAAUACAAGGGGAAAAUUGUAUCAAACUAAAUUAAACUGACAACGUAAAACUACGAAAAAUCUUUAUAAAAGACAAGGCUGAAAUGCGUGUUUUUACCUAUUGUUACAAACAACAAAGCAAGAAUGAAUGACCAAAAAUCGAUGAACGUAAAAUUAUUAUCCAUUAGUUAGUUUGAUUUAGUUGCAUACUACUUUUUUCCUUCUGAGACAUUCGUUGUACUUCUUCUGUUCUAUAGUCUUUCUUUAGCUUCUUUGGCGAUACUAAUUAGGAUCUUAAUUUUUUAUGAAUAGCUCCAAAAAACAGACUUUGUGUGUUAACUCAAAUUGCAACUAAUCUUAUGGCCAAUUGAUUAUGCAAUGAAGGUGAAUAUUCGAUUUCAAAAUACUUGCGAUUUAAAAUAAUUAAACAUUGACGGAUGCUAACUAUUCCGAUUAGAUAAAUUAUUAACACUGAACUAUUUUUAAAAGAUGAUUCAAACGAGCCACUUUUUAAGCGUUUAUAACAUCGUCAUUAAAAAGGUGCAUAAAUGAGCUCAUCAAUAUAUUCGUCAAAAAACGAGUAUAUGACAAAUUUUUUUAACAAACAAAGCGCUAUUUUUUUAUUUUUUUUCAAAGCCCGAAGCUGGCAUUAUCAACAUAUCGCAACAAACGAACUUACAAAGCGCUAUUUUCACCCAACUAUGGUUAUUCAAAAAUAUGAGCGAUCAGUAAUUCAGUGUGACGAAGUAUAUUGAAUUGAAAGGUCAGUUUUAUCUGUCGAACCUAAAUUGAAAAAAAAUACUAAAACGCCUAUUUUUUUCUAAUCUCUAACUCUUACUCUCAUCCUACUUCCCUCUCAUUUUUAAAUAUUCUCGUCCCAUAUUUUUGAAUUUCAGUGUGUAUAUUUUUCAAUUGUGUUUUCUCCCUUUUUUAAUGUUUUAUAGUGAAUUUUUUAGGACGUAUAGGCACGAUAAUUAUGUCUCAAAACCCGGAAUUCCAUUCCAAAAGAAGGGAGUAUUUCAUAGGGAAAGAUUAGUAAUUUGGACGAACAUUUUUAAUGCAUAGAAAAGGCUGAUUAUCAGUACUGACGAAAUUCUCUGAAUUCAUAAAUUAGAUCGAUAAAAAAAGCCAUUUCAAAGCCUGUGGUGUCAACCCUAAUUAUACUGACUGAACAGAUGAUGCGACAACAUCAAGAGUGUUAACGAUUUGACACUUAUGACGCACCAUCUGUUCUGUCGAAUAUAUAAGCCGAUGAACUAGAAGAAAGAAAGGAAUGAGAGAAGACAUUGUUUAUUUUGUGUGUGAUUUGUAUGAGACUACUAUUAAUAAAUAUCUCAAGAACUUAAAACUGUGAUACUGUACACAAAGAGCUAAAGAAGUAUAUACACCGUACUACGACGUUUAUAAAGAAAGGAAGGAAGUAUAUUAUUAGGACCCCAGUACGGUCCCUGCAUUUGGUGACCCCAGACAAAAUGAACCGCUAUCGGAUUGGAGUUAGAUCGCAUGAUAUUGAUUGACAAUUUUUGAAUGGAGUAACUACUUAAAUAGCGAACAAGAUUAUUCGGUAAUAGAUAAAAAAAAAAGAAAUUGAGCGUUAUCAUCAAUUGUUUCUGAAAAGAAUUAAACAGAUCCAAGUAACAGCCUAAGAACAUUAAUUAAAGAAGCAGUAAUUUUUGGAUACGAAUAAUACAAAGACAACAGCAAGAAGAAUAUAUAUAUAUGCGUAUAGAACUGUUCAAUAACCGGUACGUCUAAUUCAAUCAUUAUUUUUCUUUGACCCUUUCGUUUAUUUUUAUUUGUAUAUAUUAUUAACUAUUAGCCAUAAAUAUGAACAAAUUUUCUUUUAAUAUUCUCACUCCUUCAAAAAGGCAACGUAAUAGAUUUUUGUUACGUGAACCAGAAUUGCCACAAGUGCAUUUUAUCAACCCCCGAGAUGGACGCAAUAGAUAUAUUGCUAGCAAAACAAUUUCAGAGCCCGUUUUAUCUAGAACCCAGUCCAUUCGAUGAAAUAUUCGAUAAUAAUUACCCGUAUCCCAUUCCAAACGACAUUAAAAAUAAUACUGCGAGAAAUGCGUUAGUUCCUGAACAACCGCAAACGUCUCAACGCGUUAAAGGAACAACAGAUAAUAAUCGUCCGGAAAUGGUUCCCCAGGUAUAUUCAUCGCCCUGCGUUAAUCCUGUGGAAACCAAUGCCGUUCCUGAAACAGUUUUACCUACACAUGAACACUGAAAGAAUUCUUCACAGGCAAAAUUCGAACGAUCAGCAUUCUCAGCCAUACGCUCCAGCCCAUAUGUUUCAAACACCGUUCGUAAUCACUGGCAUCAAACAACCAUUCGACUUCCUAGUUUUUGGGAACAUUCUUUCGACACGUGGGGUAAACGGGUCGAAAGCAUUCUGGACAAAAAUGAAAAAAAAGAACGUUGCGAUGAGGUUAUGACAGCGCUAAGUGACGAACAAACACAACAGGUUUCUUUAGACAUUUGUAAUGCAGAUCCAGAAAGGCCAUACACACAAUUGAAAGAAGCUCUUCUGGAUACGUUCACACCUUCCCAAGAACAGAUUGAAUGCAUUUUAACAGCAAUUUAGGAGACAAAAAAACAACGGAAUUACUUAAAAAAUGAAAUUUUUAUUUGGUAAUACCGAAGAUCCAAUUAUUAAUUCUUAAAAGAACAUUCAUUGAAAAACUGUCACCAUAUGUUCGGACAAUUUUAUCAAACAAUUUGAAUGAUUUCAUCGAAAAUGUAGCAAAACGUGCUGAUCAAAUUGUCAUCGGUGGAACCUGCAAACGAUAUGAAUCAACCGACGACUAAUCAAGUUAUUAAAAACAAAAUGCUCGAAAUUCCAAUUCAAAAUCUGACAAAUAAAAUUAAUAGUUUGACAACGAAAUUAGAACAGGCCGAGUCGCAACAGAAUCGUCAAAAUGGUCGUAGAAAUUACAGUAGACCGAAUAAAAUCAGCAAUUAUCCGAUGCCCUCCAACCCGAAUCUACUAUUGCCGUAUCAACCUCGCAGAUUUCCUAACAAUCACGAAUAUCGUCGCUAUCAGCGGAGGCAGAAUGAGACCGGGAAUUCUCUACGACCCCGAUUCUUUUCUUAACUUCUCCAGACUCCCGGAUAAUGGCAUCUGCAGUUACCAUGCUCGAUUUAUGAUCGGGCUUAUAGAUGUACGCAGUCAUGUAAUUUUCGGGGAAACGGACCAGCCGUAUACCAACGCCGUUAAACGUGUCCGGCUUAACAUCAACCCGAGGCCAAUUCUUUGUAUACGAUAAAUCAUUGCAAAAACAUUUAUUAGUUGAUUCUGGAGCAGAAAUUAGCCUCAAUUAACAGAUACGGCGACUUCGUUUUCUAUUAGAUGUUUCAUUAUGACUUUGUUCAUCUUCUUGACAUCUAUUAAAUACAUCAACACAGAGACUAUAGAAAUGCAUCUUUGCUACCCAGACAAACCUAUUAAAGAAUACGCAAUAGAACCAACUAAACCGUGCAUAAAACAUCCUCGGACAACAGUAUCGCAAUGUAAUGCUGAAAUACAACAACUAGGCUAGAACAAGAAUUACUGCAUACGUUUGUCAGGAAUCAACCACAAUCUGGCAGACCACAAGUUAUUUCUUCGAAGCCAAAGUUCAUAAUAUAGAAACCAAAUUCACCACCCAGUAAUUUACUUUGCUACAAUUGGAAAACCACAAAACAGGAUAGUCGGAUGAAAAAAUUCACAAAACAGAGCAAGAACCUUUGGACGACAUCCAAUGAAGAAAACCCGUUUAUACAUGGCCCACAUCCAGUACAGAAAAAGUUUCUAAUGCUUUACUUACCCGAAUUAGCUUAUAUUUUGACCAUGCCAAUGACAAACUAUCCGGACCCGUUCCCGCCUUGGAUACAUGCGACGUUGAACGUGGAUCUUGCACUAUUGGUACUCAGACUAUAGUAUGGGAAACCUCUCCACUAAUAGAUUGUUCAAAGACAAAAUUUACCACAGCACCAAUAACUUUUCAUAUCAACUCAAAUAAAAAGGUGUAUGAAAUUGAAAUCGCCUCACUCGGAAUAAAUCUGCACUCGUGGUCGACAUUUGGUGACUUCACACAAAGAUGUUUCAACUGCGAAAGAAUGUAUUGCUCCAACGCAGGAAUACUCUUUGCUGCAAAGAACUGCACGCUAUCGACCACACAAAAUUACAAUUAACAUCCUUAAACGCUAUGUUUUCCAACCCGACUGAUGACGUCUCCCUUGCUAAUUAAGCCGAACGAAACGCGGACGCAGUGGCAGACGUAUUCAAUAAAUUAACUGUAGAUUUGCAAUAUUAACUGUAGAUUUGCAAUAUUUAGAGUGCCAAUUAAAAAAUUCUUUGGCAAACAAUUAUCGAACCCUAGCAAGACAAUACCCCGGCGCAGUUCUUCAGGCAAUAUUACGAGGAAACAGGGCAGCGAUUACAAGCGGCGAUCUUCUGCUAGAGAUAGCAUGUGAAAAAAUGAACAUAAGGCUUGUUCCACAUUUACACUACGAUAGUCUGUUCGCAACUAAACCAACCGUUGGUUAAAUACACUGAUGAGAAAAAUAAUGAACGCAUCGCUCAAGUAUUUUCAGACGGGAAAGCAUACUCUGGCGCCAAUUUUUGGGGAACGGUAGUGACUAUUAAGGUUAUCUGGCGUUUGUUCCCUAUUUUAAAACACAAGUUGUCAAAUACGUCAACGAACAAACGACAAGGAGACGCCAGUAGAAAACGCACUUCACCACAUAUGAUACCAGAAUAUAUAUGACAGAUGCCAAAACCGAAGCGGCUAUACCAAGGCACACCGCAUAUUCCGUACGUACACUCAGAAUACCUAUAAUAUAUAGCACUUUUAUUUUCUUCUGUAAUGAUGUAUAAUUGUUUGCUAAUCAUUUUUUUUUUCAUUUUGCUGUUAUAUUCAUAUUUAUACUGCGUACAUAAUAGCUCAUAUUCACUACAUUUACAUUUUAUUAUAUAUAUAUACAAUUGUUGCUUAUAAUAUUUAAAGGUAUGUAAACGCAUGCGUAGUAAUUAUAUCGUAUAUACUUUAUUAAUCACUUUCAUUCGAUUCUAGUUUUCCCUCAUUUCAUCUCAUUCAUUAAUUAUUUCCGUCCGUCUCGAUGUCUCACUAUUGUUUGUUAAGUUUAAUCAUUUAUUUCCAUAUUUUGCGAUUUAUUGCUUGACACUACAGCCUCCCACCUCCCAACUCAUAUCUACAUCGCCUUUUAUAAAAUCUCAGGGGUAACUUAUGCUGGUAUCAUUGGGCCACCUUCGAUUGUCGGGUAGUAUAUAUACCCCCCCCCCCCCCAAAUUAUUAUCACCACAUUAAUUCAGCUUCCAUCCGCACCCUAAAUCAGAAUAGUGAAAAACCCAGCUGCGGAGCCUGUGGUGUCAACCCUAAUUAUACCGGCUGAACAGAUGAUGCGACAACAUCAAGAGUGUUAGUAAAUAUCUCAAGAACUUAAAACUGUGAUACUGUACACAAAGAGCUAAAGAAGUAUAUAUAGCACAUCGUACUACGACGUUUAUAAAGAAAGGAAGGAAGUAUAUUAAUAGGACCCCAGUACGGUCCCUGCACGCUAUUGUGGCUUGAAGGCAAAGACGACACGAACCACUGAAGAUAUGAAUGUCUGGGCUGAACACGCCACUGACCUAUAUGGACGUUCGCCGGCAAGGUCGCAACAGAAAACACGUGUAACUACAGACUUAUGGGUAACUGUGGUCGGAGUCUGCGCAAAUGGCUGAUACAUUCGGAACACAAAUAAUGAAUUAUUCCAUUAUCUAAUUGCAGGUUAUUUUUUGUGAAUCGAGGAUGCUGCGCAAUCUGAAAGGUAUGAGAGAUGGCAUGUAUGUUUGGAAAAUAGGGUUCAAAAUACACGUUCACCGCUCAACCAUUGUGUAACACUGUAGGUCAUGAGUGGCUAUCCACCAACCAUGUUAUUUCAAUGUCUCUGUUACAUGCAGAAAUUUUACUUUAGUGAAUUAACCCAUUAAUUUUAGUUAUUCUGGUCCCGAUAAUCACGUUUAGACUUGCUCUCGUUUAUUUAUUUGUUUGUUUAUUAAGAGCUCCUGACCGAAAGAAAAUUUUGGCAAUGAUGGUGCAAUACUCUCUUAUAUCAGCUGAUUUGUAUUCAUGCCCUUGUUGUUCUUAUUGUAUCAUACUGGGUGUACUAUUUAUUAGUGUCGGAGACAGUGCAAUGAGGCUUGGUCACAUGAGUAUCUUUGUUAGAAGCUGCGAUUACUCUGCGGCAUUGAUUUUCAAAUUGUAGGGUUUUAAUUCUGUUAAUUGAGGCUUGCUUAAGAUAUUUAGGGAAGUUUAGGAUUAUUUGAUAAUUGGAAUUUAGGUUCUGAUUGAGUUGUAUAUUUGAGGCUAAUUAUACUAUUUCUUUGUUUUUGUGUCUUGUAGCUAAAUUCAAGUACUGUUGUUGGGCUGGAGACACAAAUAUAUUGUAACCACCAUACUCACGUAUACACUACCGUGGACACACUGCUCAUACAAACAUCAUAGAGAUAAUAUUUACUGUGUUACACUGUUAUUUAUCUACUGUGGAGCUUUUACCUGAUUGUGGAAUUUUACUGGACUGUGACUUGUAUAUAUACUGUACAUAUACUUUCAUUA